UACGGGGGGAGCAAGCGUUGUUCGGAUUUACUGGGCGUAAAGGGCGCGUAGGCGGCCAGCACAAGUCAGUUGUGAAAUCUCCGGGCUUAACUCGGAAAGGUCAACUGAUACUGUGCGGCUAGAGUGCAGAAGGGGCAACUGGAAUUCUCGGUGUAGCGGUGAAAUGCGUAGAUAUCGAGAGGAACACCUGCGGCGAAGGCGGGUUGCUGGGACGGUACUGACGCUGAGACGCGAAAGCAUGGGGAGCGAACAGG
rnacentral:rRNA from 1 species